rnacentral:tRNA from 1 species
ACCUGGUUGGCUCAGUCAAAAGAGCAUGGGACUCUUGAUCUCUUGGUCAUGAGUUCGAGCCCCACAUUAGGUG